rnacentral:rRNA from 1 species
UGGGGGAUAUUGCGCAAUGGGGGAAACCCUGACGCAGCAACGCCGCGUGAAGGAAGAAGGUCUUCGGAUUGUAAACUUCUUUUGUCAGGGACGAAGAAAGUGACGGUACCUGACGAAUAAGCUCCGGCUAACUACGUGCCAGCAGCCGCGGUAAUACGUAGGGAGCGAGCGUUGUCCGGAUUUACUGGGUGUAAAGGGUGCGUAGGCGGCCGAGCAAGUCAGUUGUGAAAACUAUGGGCUUAACCCAUAACGUGCAAUUGAAACUGUCCGGCUUGAGUGAAGUAGAGGUAGGCGGAAUUCCCGGUGUAGCGGUGAAAUGCGUAGAGAUCGGGAGGAACACCAGUGGCGAAGGCGGCCUACUGGGCUUUAACUGACGCUGAGGCACGAAAGCAUGGGUAGCAAACAGG